rnacentral:rRNA from 1 species
GUGGGUAACCUGCCUCACACAGGGGGAUAACAGUUGGAAACGGCUGCUAAUACCGCAUAAGCGCACAGUACCGCAUGGUACGGUGUGAAAAACUCCGGUGGUGUGAGAUGGACCCGCGUCUGAUUAGCUAGUUGGCAGGGCAACGGCCUACCAAGGCGACGAUCAGUAGCCGACCUGAGAGGGUGACCGGCCACAUUGGGACUGAGACACGGCCCAAACUCCUACGGGAGGCAGCAGUGGGGAAUAUUGCACAAUGGGGGAAACCCUGAUGCAGCGACGCCGCGUGAGCGAAGAAGUAUUUCGGUAUGUAAAGCUCUAUCAGCAGGGAAGAAGAAAUGACGGUACCUGACUAAGAAGCACCGGCUAAAUACGUGCCAGCAGCCGCGGUAAUACGUAUGGUGCAAGCGUUAUCCGGAUUUACUGGGUGCAAAGGGAGCGCAGGCGGAAGGCUAAGUCUGAUGUGAAAGCCCGGGGCUCAACCCCGGUACUGCAUUGGAAACUGGUCAUCUAGAGUGUCGGGGGGGUAAGUGGAAUUCCUAGUGUAGCGGUGAAAUGCGUAGAUAUUAGGAGGAACACCAGUGGCGAAGGCGGCUUACUGGACGAUAACUGACGCUGAGGCUCGAA